UGGGGAAUUUUGCACAAUGGGGGAAACCCUGAUGCAGCGACGCCGCGUGAUUUAGAAGGCCUUUGGGUUGUAAAAAUCUUUUCUAUGGGAAGAAAAUGACAGUACCAUAGGAAUAAGGACCGGCUAAUUACGUGCCAGCAGCCGCGGUAAUACGUAAGGUCCGAGCGUUGUCCGGAAUCAUUGGGCGUAAAGGGUACGUAUGCGGGUAAGCAAGUUAGAAGUGAAAUCCUAUAGCUCAACUAUAGUAAGCUUUUAAAACUGCUCAUCUUGGGGUAUGGAAGGGAAAGUGGAAUUCCUAGUGUAGCGGUGAAAUGCGCAGAUGUUAGAAGGAAUACCGGUGGCGAAGGCGACUUUCUGGCCAUAACCUGACGCUGAGGUACGAAAGCGUGGGUAGCAAACAGG
rnacentral:rRNA from 1 species